GCCCGGCUAGCUCAGUUGGUAGAGCAUGAGACUCUUAAUCUCAGGGUCGUGGAUCCGGGCCCCACAUUGGGCG
rnacentral:tRNA from 1 species